rnacentral:rRNA from 1 species
UGGGGAAUAUUGCACAAUGGGGGAAACCCUGAUGCAGCAACGCCGCGUGAGUGAUGACGGCCUUCGGGUUGUAAAGCUCUGUCUUCAGGGACGAUAAUGACGGUACCUGAGGAGGAAGCCACGGCUAACUACGUGCCAGCAGCCGCGGUAAUACGUAGGUGGCGAGCGUUGUCCGGAUUUACUGGGCGUAAAGGGACCGUAGGCGGAUUUUUAAGUGAGAUGUGAAAUACUCGGGCUUAACCUGAGUGCUGCAUUUUAAACUGGAAGUCUAGAGUGCAGGCGAGGAGAAGGGAAUUCCUAGUGUAGCGGUGAAAUGCGUAGCGAUUAGGAAGAACACCAGUGGCGAAGGCGCUUCUCUGGACUGUAACUGACGCUAAGGCUCGAACGCGUGGGGAGCAAACA